rnacentral:rRNA from 1 species
UACGGAGGGUGCAAGCGUUAAUCGGAAUUACUGGGCGUAAAGCGUGCGCAGGCGGUUUGUUAAGUCCGUUGUGAAAUCCCCGAGCUCAACUUGGGAAUUGCAAUGGAUACUGGCAAGCUGGAGUAUGGUAGAGGAAGGUGGAAUUCCCGGUGUAGCAGUGAAAUGCGUAGAGAUCGGGAGGAACACCAGUGGCGAAGGCGGCCUGCUGGGCAGUUUUGCUGACACUGAGGCGCGACAGCGUGGGGAGCAAACAGG